CAGCAGCUACUGAGCUAUGAUUCCAUCAUUUUGUGUCCAGGAUGACAAGAGAAUGGGAUGCCCUGAGAGUCAAGACAUAUUGGUCUUAAAGAUUCCACUAUAUAUCACCCCAAAGUGUGUAUUUCCAGAGAUGCCAAUUGCCUUGUCUGCUGUGAUCAUGUCUGAAGAGACAAUCCACAUCUACAUAAAGUCUAAUUUAGGAGUAUUAACUCUUGUGGAAAUAUGAGUUAACCUUGGAAUGAACCGUUUGUUAGGAAUGCUUCAUGUGACCAUUGUCAUAGUUCUUCUGGAGUGGGAUCUAAUAUCAAGAAAAUUAAAUGUGAAGCAUUUUUUAAGGAAUUUCUUUCAUUUAAGUCAAAAUUAAGAUGUGAUUUUUGAGGUUAGCAUUAUAUAAGUGGACUAUCAUACACAUCUUAUAUGGGCUUGGAAUAGGUUAACAUGAAAGUAGGCCAAUUGCUUUGCUCUACUCAGCCUUACCCAUAUUCCCUUCUAGGGCAAUCCAUCUGUGAGAGAAUGAGUAGAGGGAGUAGAAUGAAACCAAUGAAAAGACAAUGGGAACUAUGGGAACUGGUGCAAAUUGGGGCAUUUAGGUUACGUGUCAUGCCUGAAUGCAUCAUUUCAUAUCCCUUAAGCACGGAGGUGGUUUCUUUUUCUUUUUCUUUUUCUUUUUUUUUUCAUUUCCUUCAGUAACUAAGUUCACUGUACUUUCUGAAAAUCUUUGGUACUUCAACACCUGUGUAGAGCUGCUGAGAUGCACAUAGUUACAGACCAUGCCAGGAUAAAUAAUUUGCUGUGUUCUUGAACAGACUAAGGUAUGAUCCCAACAGGAGUCUUUUCCUUUGGGAUAUUCAGGAUUAUCCUCAUGGGAGUAAUGAUACUUUAAUUCAGUAGGUAGUGGCUUGAUAAACACAGGUAGUAGUGUUUCCCACGGUAAUUUUACACUGUUAAUUUGUGAGCAUGUACACAUUGAUGGGUGUGUCAGCAUGUGUGAAGGUGGACAUACAUGUGUGUUCUUGUAUGCAUGGAGUACAGAAGUCAACAUAGACUCGAGUUGCUUUCUGUCUCCUCAGAUUACAGGCAUAUAUUCUCAGAUCCUACCUAUUUACGUUGGUCCUAGGAAUCCAAACUCAGGUCCCCAUUCUUGCCUAGCAAGCAGUUUGCUUACUGAGGCAUGUCCCUGGACACUUUCUAUACAGUUUGAUGAAUGGAAAGUCAGUAAUUUGGAAGCCUGAGGAAUAUGGGUAGAGUUGUUGGCUAGAUAAAUUCAUUCACAGUUACAAUCAUUUUAACCACUAAUUAAUUAGUAUAGCUGCAAUGUAGGCAUUUCAUAUUGUCUGUAUUUCUCAAAACUACAAGUUAAAUCGUAAUACUUCCUUCUGUUUUAUAAAUAAUAAAAUCAGGCCUCGGAAGAGUAUGGCUAAUAAGUAACACAGCUAAGUCAAGAAUGUAAGGUUUCCUGGUUGAAAAGCCUGCAUUAUAUUGAAAUUGGGUAUGAAUUAUCUCUUUCACCAUCUUGAUUACUCAUCAAACUAUCUAUCUACUCCAACGACCAAUGGAUCAAGUUAUUUAUGUAUCUUGUUAAGCAGAUAUUAAAUUAAGUAGGACUUUCAAUGUGAAAUUAGUAGUAUAAAUUAUACUUGAUUGUAAACUGAAAAUGAGGUGAUUUCUACAGGGCAUGGUAUUCACCUCUACACUUUCCUUUGAAUGACACCCAACUCCUUUUUCACUGGGGAAAGAAAUUGUUGCAACCAAUUUGGUUCUUCUAUUAAAAGCUGUGCUUUGGCCUCAGUCUCUGAAAAUUCCAAGUGACAAAAGACUUUUUUUCCCCCUCCACGAAAUAUAUUUUUAAUUUGUCCAAGGCAAGGUGGUAAAUUAUUCACAGAGCCUUGUUCCUCUCCUGUUUUUACAACACAGUGCUUUAAAAUAUGCAAAGUAUUGGAUUGAAAUCUUGUGUUGGACAACAGUCCUUUAAUGUUCUCUCAGGCCUCGCUAUGGAGGCACUGAGCAAAGAGGAGAAAGAUUUACUGUUGAUCAAAUCCUGUGACUUAGAAACAAUGUAAGGACCUUCAAAUGUCAUUAUUUCACUCAUUCACUCAUUCAUUCAUGCUUGGAAAAGUAUUUAUUAAGGGCCUCCUAGUGCACUGGGAGGGAAAGGGUUAAGGCGGAAUGGUAAAGAAAAGGACAGGAUCCUCCAGAAUGAGAUCACCUACUUUCUAGUUCUGCCCCAUAAUUUUUAUCAGCUUAGGGCCACUUCUGCAGAUAUUCAGUUCUCUGCCUCAGUUCUCUCUUUGUACCUAGUCAUAAUAAUAGUUCUUUCCUAACACAUAUUGUGAGGAUUAAAAACAAAAUGAAGUAUUAGAAGUCCUUAGCAAACACUGACACAUGGCUGAGGGGAAGGAAACUCUUAGCUUUCUGGCACCUAGCAAAUUAUUGCUGUUGUUGUCACUAACAUCACUGUUAUUAUUUAAUGGAGCUAAAGAACUCAGGGAAUCUCCAAUGGAAGCCACAUCCUGUCACUCGCUAGAAGAGUGGGAGGUAUUCAGAAACUCACUUUCUUGUCGGGAUAUCAGUUUCCCAAUCUCUACAGAAAGAACUGUAGAAAAUAUUAUUUAUUAUAGGGUAUUUUUUUCUCCUUAGGAACACUGUAUUCACAGAGACAAAAUGCUUUGAUAAACCUUUUGAGGUGUCAAGUAAGUUCCUAAGGGCAUAAUUAAAUAACAAAAGAUGAGCACUGAACUGUCAUGUACAGGACAAGAUGAGCAUUUGUUCAGCUCUUUAGGGAAAUAGGAAGGACAGGGAGUGGGAAGCACACAUUCAAGCUGGGGGAGGGUCCCAUAACUUAGGUAUUUCCAGUACUUUUUAAAUUUUAAUGAAAACUGUUAAAUUCACAAAACCACUUGAUGUGAGUGAUCUGAUGGAGGGUAGUUCAGAGACAAAUUCUGUGCCUGGAAUUACAUGCAGUAGCUUUCCUUAGUACCUCUGAAAAUCAUGUUUUGGGUCAAAGAAAACAUUUUGUAGACUAGGUAUCUGUGGGAUGUGCCUGAUUAAGCAAGCAUGCAUGCAUACUUGGAGUAUAUGUCCACCUGUUUAAAAGGCCCCUCAAUUUAUGUUCAUGACAGUGGGGAUUUUUUUAAAUGUCUACAUUCUUUCUAAUAAACUGUUGGAAGAUUUCUUGGCUCUCCUCCUAAGUGUCUGGUUUGAUGUAAUUUCAUGUAUUUACCACUUACUGGAAUGGAGUUCUUAUUUUUUGAGGGAAACUUGGGACUGCUCCUGUUUGGAAAAAGGCUUACUGUAUUGUUACAGGGAACCCUUUAAAGUGGAUCUGUAAUGGAGAACUGUAGAUGAACUGUGCAGCAGCUGGAACAGUGUUGUGACUUGAUUGAAAUAAAACUCGAUGUGUUGUCAAAAAAAAAAAAAAAAAAAAAAGGCACACAUGGAUGCCUCCCAAGGCUUGACUAUGAGUAACUAUCCUUGGGUAUAUCUAUAUUCAAUUCUUACAUACAUAAAGGUAUGAUAGAUGCAUAUAGGCUUAUAUGUGAAGUUUUACAUGUAUGGGAAUAUCUGUACUACAUUCAUACCUUUUUAUACAUGAGUAUGAGGGCAAAUCCUCCUUGGCCAUUUGUGUUUUCUUUGUGAGUGUAGUUGGUGUUCCCCACAUUGCAUAACCAAUAACUUUCAUUUGGCUGAGAAGGCUGAUAAUAAAACUAUAUGGCCUCCAAAGGAAGGAUAGGGAUGUCACAACAUCCCCAUGUACAGUCACUGUGGUCCCUCCUGCAGAACAGUAUUUUCCAUUGACAAAAAGAGCAAACUCCCAGCUUUUUCCAUCCUCUGUGUGUCUGAGUUUUGCUUUGUGCCUCUGAGGAAAGGUGGUGCAGGGAGUGAGGCAAAGACCCUGGAGGACUAGAAGACUGUGGAAAGGCCUGUGUGGGGUGAAGAGGCAAUUUGCAGAAAUGCCCAAGUGGGAAUGCAGCUCCAAACAGCACAUUCUCUUAAUAUACACGAAAUUAAGUCUUAAUAAUGCAGCAAGAAGUCCAUUAACCCCUCUUGAUCUAAGGCUUCCUUCUGCCAGCUCUCAGUCCAGAGGGAACCAGCUUGUUUCACCUUCUGUUCCACAGGCCCCUAAGAGAGCCUGAGCUGACAUGUGGAAUAUUUAUUUCCACUGACUCAUAGCCUUAACUCCUAAAAUUCACUUACUAUACACUUCUCUACCCAUCUAUUGAUGCAUCCAUUUAUCCAAUCAUCUGUCCAAACAUCCAUCCUCUGCCCAUCCAUUUACCUGUCAAAUGAUAACUGAACAUCUGUUCUCUGUUGUACCCUAGGAGAAGCAUUGGGAAUAUUAGAAAGAUGAAUUGGGUAAUUCACAUUUCCUCCUCCCACCACCCACUGUCCCUGAAUCUCAAAGUGUGAUUGGAUGUAAAGUCAUCUCUAAACUAGAACUUUUCGGGUUCAAAGAGAAGAGUAGCAUUUCCUACUGUCCAACCAGGAAUGGUGAUCCAUGAGAAAAAGCAAACCUACAUAUUUUGCUAGAAAUUCAGUCAAGUCUAGUAUAUGGACCCUCAUGAUGUUCCUUAAUCACUUCGUGAGAUUUUAGUCUCAUUGCUGAAGUAGAUAGGUCAAUAAAUAAGUUGACUAUUGACCUGGGAUGCUUUCAUAUUUAUUCAUUUAUGAUCUUAUCAUUAUUUGCUAAGUACACAAUCCAUGGUCACAUUGUUCUAAGUGGGAAUGGCAUAGAACUAUUAGAAGAGCCCCAGUCUCACAGUAUUUUUGCUCUAGUGGAGGGAAUAGGCUGUUAACUCAGAACCCCCCCCCCUCCAAAAAAAAAAACAAGAUAAUACUGUGUUGCAGAAAUAAAGAGAAUUUUGAGCAUACAUGGAAAGUAUUAUCAACCCAGGUAGGGUAUGGAGUGGGAGAUAGAGAGACAUAUUCUAAGAAUAGAUAAUAUCAGAAUAUGAGAAAUGGGUGAAUGCUAUCCAGGACAGAAAAGCAGAGUAAGGUAAACUGGGUUCAUUUGACAGAGCAGAAUAGUCAACAGUGAUAAAAACAACAACAACAA